rnacentral:rRNA from 1 species
GAUGAACGCUGGCGGCGUGCCUAAUACAUGCAAGUCGAGCGAACGGACGAGAAGCUUGCUUUUCUGAUGUUAGCGGCGGACGGGUGAGUAACACGUGGAUAACCUACCUAUAAGACUGGGAUAACUUCGGGAAACCGGAGCUAAUACCGGAUAAUAUUUUGAACCGCAUGGUUCAAAAGUGAAAGACGGUCUUGCUGUCACUUAUAGAUGGAUCCGCGCUGCAUUAGCUAGUUGGUAAGGUAACGGCUUACCAAGGCGACGAUGCAUAGCCGACCUGAGAGGGUGAUCGGCCACACUGGAACUGAGACACGGUCCAGACUCCUACGGGAGGCAGCAGUAGGGAAUCUUCCGCAAUGGGCGAAAGCCUGACGGAGCAACGCCGCGUGAGUGAUGGAGGCCUUCGGAUCGUAAAACUCUGUUAUUAGGGAAGAACAUAUGUGUAAGUAACUGUGCACAUCUUGACGGUACCUAAUCAGAAAGCCACGGCUAACUACGUG